CCGGUCCUAUUCGAAGGGAAGCGGAAGCGCCGGCAGAUCUGGGCGGCGAGCUGCCGAAGGUCUGGGUGGCUUCGCCGAGUGGUGGUGUGGGUGGCUUCGGUGGCCGGCUGCAGCGAGGAGGCGAGCGGACGGUAGCGUCGCGCAGCCUCUCGGCUAUGUGCAGUAUGUUGAGGGCGGCCCUCGUGUCCGUGCGGCGCGGCGGGCGGCUGGCGGCCUCGUGCCUUCAUCGGCCGGCGCAUCCAGUGACUGCGGUAGACCAAGGAGACGAUAUGCUCGGCCUCUCCAUCUAGUCUAGCCAUGAGCAACGACUCCACGUCUCCACCUGCUCCACAAGGCCACGAGUCUACGACUAUCCUCCUCAGCGUGUUCUAUCAUCAACAUACAAGCCACCCAGAGUGAUGAACAUUACAGGAACUACUUCCAGUAAGGUCAAGAAUAUGCAUAUACAAUUCUCUUCAUUCAAAUUGAUGGAGAACAACAGCACAAAAGCAUCGGCAUCUCAGCUAAAGGUGCACAAGUCAACUCAUCCUUCCAGGCGGAAGCGUGGUGGCUCUUCAGGUUGCUGCUCGAAUUACCACCGCCAUUACAAGUGGCCAGAUCAUUCUUUCUCACAUAUAAUCAGACCCUAGUGCAGGCAGCAGCUUCCAACGAUCUUCCCAUAGUCCUGGACAUUGGGAGGGAGAUAAAGACAUUUUUAAGAUUUCCUUUCUGCGACAAGCCAUAUUCAAACAUAGGUUAUUCACAUUCCUACGAAGUUCAAUGUCAGGGAACAUAAUUGCACAGCCUAGAUUCAUCUCUCAGAUUCUAAUGAUAGCCCAAAGUUGGCUUGUUGUAAUGUAGCUCACUCAGGUGAUCACUGCCCUAUGCUUUUCAAGCUGGGCAAUAUCAUAAUCAAGCAUUAUACCAUCACAAAUGUAACUUGUGCUUGAAGUCAAAGAUAGGCGUUUCUGGACCCACAACUUUUUCUAAAACAAACAGAUAUAUGAUGUAGAAUACCCCGAUUGUCAGGAAUACUCCCACUAUUUAUCAUGGAGUUCUCUUUUGUUGGCUGAUUGAUUUUCUAUGUACUUUUUUAGUUCGUUUUAUUGGAAGUAACGUUACGUCAAUUCCACUUA